AGCGGCCAAAGCUGUCCUGGGACCACACCUGGAGAUGAAGUCGAGGCCAACCUGCAGGACAAGAGGGGUCAGAAAAAAGGACAAAGGAGGCAGACCUGCCCCUGGGUUCCCAUCUCCUUGAAACCAGUAGAGACUAAGGUUCCUAGUGGCCUCAGAGCACAGCUGAAUGUCCCAGCCUGACAGUCCAAUGCUUGGACGUGCAGCCCAGGUCCCCCGCUACCCUGAGCUCCUCCCUGGCAGGCCCUGUUCUCCAGGCUGGGGACACAGCAAUGAACACAGCAGACAAAAAUUCCUGCCCUGUGAAGCUGACAUCCUAGACAACCAACAUAGUAAAUAAGUAAAUUAUAGGGUAUGUCAGAUGGUGAUAACCGCUCUGGGGAAAAACAACAGCCAGAAAGGGAGGGGUGGAGAUGUAGCUUGGAAAAGUGGGGAGCAGCUAAAGGAAGCUUUACUAAAGAUGGGGACAUUUGGGCUGAGCACUGCAGUGUACAGCUGGACUGUCAGCUCUUGGGAGGUAGAGGCAAGAGGAUCCCUGCAAGUUCAAGGCUAGCCUGGGCUACACAUGAGUUCUAGGCUAUACAGGAAGACCUCACCUGGAAGGGUGCACACUUGGGCUGCUGAGGUUCCAGGCUGGCCUGCACUAUGUUCUCAAAAGCAAACAAAGCAACCAGGAUGCAACCGGUAUAGAAAUGCUUAAAGGAGUGGGCUAGCUAGGCACCUAGGGGGACGAGAUCGUCAGUGCAACAGUUCUGAAGUAGGAGCUGGCCUGGUGGGCCCAACGGGACUAAAACAGGGAGUCAUGGGGGACAAAGGACAGAGGUGACCUCCAGAUUACAUGGGGCCAUGUGAUGCUAGAGAAGACUCCAGCGUUUGCUCUGAGAGACAGGAGAUCUGCAGGAAGGUUCUGUGCAGAGGAAGAACAUGGUCGUAUUUGUGUCCUCCCAGGGUCCGGUGCAGUCCCAGACCCUGAUGCCUGGGUCUGGGAGCACAGUGAAGACGGGAAGGAAGAAUGGUCCAGGUAAGAGAAGAAGGGCAGGAUUUAGCUCAGUGGUAGAGCGCUUGCCUAGCAAGCACAAGGCCCUGGGUUUGGUCCCCAACUCCAAAAAAAAAAAAAAACCCAAAAAACAAAAAACAAAAAAAAAAAAAAAAAAGAGAGAAGAAGGGCAGAGAGGGCUCAGUGGGGUGGCUGGGGUGAGAAGCAGAAGGAAUGGGGUGAGAAGCAGAAGUGGGUUUCAGAGCCCCUAGGGUUUGCUGGUGAACAGCUAAGUGAGAGAGACUAAGAAGCAAGCAAGCAGGGAGGAAGCUACCAAAGGCCAGAACUGAGGCAACAAGGACUCAGUGCUCACACAGAAACUAGUAUGCUGUCCAAGGGGAAAAUCUGACCCAUCCAUUUCUUCCUGGGCUCCCCAGAGCCUUCAGGAGAGAGUCUUAGCACCUUUGCAGCCAAGGCCCUACAUUCUGUCCCUACCUCCCCAUCCCCUGCUGUUCUCUCCCGCAGACGUCUAAUACCCACGUCGUCUAAUACCCACGUCUCCGGCUCUCUGCCUCCACCCUCUGCCUUUGUCCUUGGGACUAGUUAGCUUCUCCUGGCCUUUACAGCAGAGCUCUAACCCCUCUGCCAUAUAAGGCCAUGGGACCAACCAGAGAUGACUUCUGGGUCUCCACGGCCUCUGGGCUGGCCCCAUCUAGAAACGGGUCCAUCUUCUACCUAGAAUAGAGGCCCUGAAGACAGGGCUUGGAGGGUCCUGUCUUAGUUGGGGACAUCCCUUCUCAAGCUGGGCAGGCACAGACUCAGCAAACUGACAACUGACUGACAUUGCUGAAAUACCCGGGCAGCUUCCCAGCAAAGCAGCACUGCCAUGCUACCUCCUCCCUCCUACACUCACUUCCCCUUUGAGCAGGACCUCUGUCCGUGUGUGAGCAGCGGCAACUGGCCCAUUUCCUGUCCCUCGCCUUCCCAUCCAGCUCUCUUCACCCUACCCGGCCUCCUCACUGCCUUCUCCUCUGCCACUUGACCCCCCUCCCCCUGCUAUCUCCUCUACCCCGACCUCUGGCACAUUCCACGGCCUAGGUAGGGUUUUGCAUAGCUCGAGUGAAGCCUCAAAUGCACCAGAAAAAGGACCCACAAAGUAUGGGGAGCAGAGACGGCCAGGGUGUUCCAAGCCCAGCUCUUCCUAGUUUGACUGCCCCUUCCCUUCCUGUCAUCCUGUACGUACCUUGGAGACCUUUUGUAGCAAAGUGCAGGUCAAUGGGGUGGGACCAGUAAGCCAUGUCCCCUGUCUGGGGUGUGUCUACCUGCGUCUGGCCUUCCCGGACGCCUGACAGGAGCUUCCAUGCGGCCCCUGUAAUGAGAACAGGACACAGGGUUGGGGGUGAGUAGCACCCUUCAGGAAGGAGACCUGGUUUGUUUUCCCCUGGUAUUUGGGAGUGGGGAGUUACACAGUGUAAACACUAGAACCAAAUAUCUGGAUUCAGAUCUUGGCACCCGCAGUCUACACCUGAAAUCUCAGCAUGUGGGAGUGUGUGGAGGGCUUUCCUGGGCUGCCUGAUGAGUGUGAAGUCAGCAUGGGCUACAGCGUGGGUCUCAAAAGGAAAACCGGAAGGAGAUGAAGAGCACCUGAGAGAGAACAGACCUGGGCGGUGAUGGCACUCACAUUUAGUCUUAGCCCUCAGGAGACAGAGGCAGGCAGAUCUCUGUGAGUUCGAAACCAGCCUGGUCUACAGGAGUUCCCAGGGCUGCCAGGGCUACAUAGAAAAACCCUGUCUCAGAAAACAAAUAAAGUCUGGUACUAUUCAUA